rnacentral:rRNA from 1 species
GACGAACGUUGGCGGCGUGCUUAAUACAUGCAAGUCCACUGAAGCAGUGGUAGCAAUAUCGCUGUGGAGGUGGCGCACGGGUGAGUAACACGUAGGUAAUCUGCCUUCAGGUCUGGCAUAACUCCGGGAAACCGGGGCUAAUAGCAGAUGAUGCAGCGGCUCGACAUCGAGACAGUUGUUAAAGCUAUGGCGCCUGAAGAUGAGCCUGCGUCUGAUUAGCUAGUUGGCGGGGUAACGGCCCACCAAGGCAACGAUCAGUAGCUGGUCUGAGAGGAUGAUCAGCCACACGGGAACUGAGACACGGUCCAGACUCCUACGGGAGGCAGCAGUAAGGAAUAUUGCUCAAUGGGAGAAAUCCUGAAGCAGCAACGCAGCGUGAGGGACGAAGGGCUUUUGCUUGUAAACCUCUGUAGUGAGAGAAAAAAAUCCCAAUCUUUGGGACAUGAUGGUAUCUCAAAAGUAAGCCCCGGCUAACUACGUG